GUGUAGUUUCGUUUCCUCAGUUUACAAGUGAUUGACAUGCUCAAUAAAUUAUCCCUAGACAACAAGUUCAUUAACCAAAUCUAAGUGCUACCGCAACAGAGACCCUCAAGUUAACCUAGUCCCAGACUCAAUCACCAUUGACGAGAGCUAACCUAACAGGCAUUACGAAUGAACAAGUUAAAGCCAAAACGCUCCCUGCAACCAAUACCUUGUACAUGGCCACGAAUCUCUGGAAUUAGUGGUUCAGACAUUUCAUCGAACACCUUUUGGGCUCGGAAAUGUCUGGGCUCAAAUUCCAGUUGAUCAGAAAGCAAUAGGCAUUAAGAACAACUAAUCCAGAAGGGAUCUAUCAAUCGAAAAUUCUACACUACUCUAGCCCAUCCUCAGAAACUAAUUCACUACUCAGACAUCAUAGCAGAAAGCAUAAACGUUGAACAGGUUGGAAACAUGAUAACAACAGUGUAACAGUAGGAUGAUAACAGGAUGAACAACAAUAAACGAAAU
rnacentral:sRNA from 1 species